rnacentral:rRNA from 1 species
CCGUUGGUGAACCAGCGGAGGGAUCAUUGCUGGAAUACACGCCCUCACGGGUGCUACCCAGAAACCCUUUGUGAAUUAUACUAUAACCUGUUGCCUCGGCAGUGACUGGCUUUCUCUGAAAGUCCCUUUUUCUCUUUUGAAAAAGGAGCAGGUCGGCCGGUGGCCCUAUAAACUCUUUGUUUUUACCAUGUAUCUUCUGAGUAAACAACUAUAAAUGAAUCAAAACUUUUAACAACGGAUCUCUUGGUUCUGGCAUCGAUGAAGAACGCAGCGAAAUGCGAUAAGUAAUGUGAAUUGCAGAAUUCAGUGAAUCAUCGAAUCUUUGAACGCACAUUGCGCCCGCUGGUAUUCCAGCGGGCAUGCCUGUUCGAGCGUCAUUUCAACCCUCAAAACCUCGGUUUUGGUGUUGGAGGAAUACUUGUUAAAGAGUACCCUCUGAAAUUUAGUGGCGGGCUCGCUAGAAUUUUGAGCGUAGUAAUUUUCAUACCUCGUUUAUAAAGACUAGCGGUGCUUCUUGCCGUAAAACCCCCCAACUUUCUGAAAAUGAC